rnacentral:rRNA from 1 species
CACACCGCCCGUCACAUCACGAAAGUGGGUUGUACUAGAAGUCUUCAGGCUAACCCGCAAGGGGGGCAGAGGCCCAAGGUAUGACUCAUGAUUGGGGUG